rnacentral:rRNA from 1 species
GAUGAACGCUGGCGGCGUGCCUAAUACAUGCAAGUCGAGCGAACAGACGAGGAGUUGUCUCCUCUGACGUUAUCGCCGGACGGGUGAGUACCACGUGGAUAACCUACCUAUAAGACUGUUAUAACUUUGGCAAACCGGAGCUAAUACCGGAAAAUAUAUUGACCCUCAUGGUUCAAUAGUCAAAGACGGUUUUGCUGUCGCUAAUAGAUGGCUCCGCGCCGCAUUAGCUACUUGGUAAGGUAACGGCUUACCAAAGCAACGAUGCGUACCCGACCUGAGCGGGUGAACGACCACACGGGAUCAGAGGAACGGUACAGACACCGGCGGGAGGACGCAGUAGGGAAUCUUCCGCGAUGGACGAGAGCCUAACGGAGCGAAGCCGCGGGAGUGAUGAAGGUGUUCGGAUCGGAAAACGCUGUAAGUAGGGGAGAACAAAAGUGUAAGUAACUAUGCACGUAUUGACGGUACCUAGUCAGAAAGCCACGGCUAACUACGUG